rnacentral:RNase_P_RNA from 1 species
GAAGGCGGCUGGAGAACCGCCUUCCGGAAAUGCCCCGCAUUCCCGGAAGGAGGAAAGUCCGGACUCCGCAGGGAAGGAUGGUUCCUAACGGGAACGCUCCGCCGCACAGGCGGCGGAUACGGAAAGUGCCACAGAGAAUAGACUGCCCGCCCCGCGGGUAACGGUGAAAAGGUGAGGUAAGAGCUCACCGUCCCGGGCGGUGACGCCCGGGACUGAGGCAAACCCCAUCCGGAGCAAGGCCAAAUGGAGGGUGUUUGAGGCUGUCCCGGCCGAAUCCUCGGGUUGGCCGCUUGAGCGCGCCGGCAACGACGUGGCCAGAUAAAUGGUUCUCCUCGACAGAAUCCGGCUUACAGGCCGCCUUCGCAC